rnacentral:rRNA from 1 species
AGUGAAUGCUGGCGGUAGGCCUAACACAUGCAAGUCGAACGGCAGCACAGCAAGAGCUUGCUCUUACGGGUGGCGAGUGGCGGACGGGUGAGGAAUACAUCGGAAUCUACUUUUUCGUGGGGGAUAACGUAGGGAAACUUACGCUAAUACCGCAUACGACCUACGGGUGAAAGCAGGGGAUCUUCGGACCUUGCGCGAUUGAAUGAGCCGAUGUCGGAUUAGCUAGUUGGCGGGGUAAAGGCCCACCAAGGCGACGAUCCGUAGCUGGUCUGAGAGGAUGAUCAGCCACACUGGAACUGAGACACGGUCCAGACUCCUACGGGAGGCAGCAGUGGGGAAUAUUGGACAAUGGGCGCAAGCCUGAUCCAGCCAUACCGCGUGGGUGAAGAAGGCCUUCGGGUUGUAAAGCCCUUUUGUUGGGAAAGAAAAGCAGCAGGUUAAUACCCCGCUGUUCUGACGGUACCCAAAGAAUAAGCACCGGCUAACUUCGUG